CGUCACUCGUCAGUUGGUGCCUGGAAGUGAGUGAAUCUGGUAGUUUUUAGCGAUUGGCUAAGGGUUGUGGGAAAAAAAUUUCAAGCAAGGUUGGAGAACGACUAUUGGCGAUAACGUUUUUCUAUGAUUAUCCGUGGUUCAUGAAAGCAGCAUUAUUGUUGUGAGGUUAGAGAUUACGGACAAAGGCGAGCAACACAUCAGUAAUGGAAGUCGACAGGGUAUGAUGAAGCUGUAAUGAAAUGGAGGUUUAGUGAUGCUGCUUAGAGACUUGGCGUCCUGCUACGUCUUAGGAGGAAGACAGUGUUUCUACAAGACAAGAGAUUAUGUUGAUACCUGGCUCCAAAUUUUACAUUCGAAAUACCGAAUGAAAGAGAAAAGAAUAUUUAAACUGCAGACAUAAUUGGAUCAGCUGUUUGUUGCAAGGAAAAUUACAAGAAACAGCAGGAAGAGAGGGAAGAAAAAUCCCAUGAGGCAAGACACCUUCACGGAUAAAACUGAAAUUUGGUGAAAAUUCUAUGGAGAUUAAAGGACAGAGUCCUCAACCAGAAGUUGCAGGGCAGAUACUAACUGAAGUUACGAUGGACUGAAAGUCUGAUGAAGUGUGGGAGUGUUUUAUGGGAGAAGCAGGAGUCCUAACCAAGCGGCAGUCUUUAACCAGACGAGUCUCUUAAGAUAUUUAUACUGCCACAAGUCAAAGUUGCAGGGUAGUUCAUAUUGGUGAAUUUGUACAGGUUGCAAACCUGAAAGAGAAGGAAGCUCUGGAGCAGAAAUCACCACUGGAAAGUUCUAUACUGACUAAGAACCUGGAUUAGUGCAGCUUUCUCAAUUGGUAAUCAUAUGGCAAGGGAAACCAAACUGGUGAGAGCUAAGGUGGGUGAGCUGGCUGAACUGUAACGCAGGCCAGGUGAUUACAAGACUGGAAGGGAUGUUGAAAACCUUAGCUGUAGCUGCUGUACUGAAAGACGACCAGGAAUUUGCAUACCACACGAAUACGUAAGUUCAACGUCCUGUUGAAAAACCUCGGCAGAAGAGCUUAAUGGGACCAAGUAAUAAACAGGAGAGUAAUGGGUGUAACAGUUCUAAAGUACCAGGCAUGAUGAUAAAUCUUUAUCUGAAAUCAACAGGCAUGGAUUUAACCAGGCUGCUGCUGUUUUUCCUAUUUGUUUAUAAAUCUGUGAAAACCUGGAUGAAAUCAUACUUUUAACACAUUCAAAUAAAGAUUAAACAUAAAGAUUAAACACAUUUAACCUUGGGUUAUUAUGUGGUAGAAUUGAGCAGGAUUCCUGCCGUUUCCAAACUUAUUCUCCACAAAUCUUGUGCUUGGGCUUAUGCUCCACAAAGAACAUGCCCCUUUCAGCCCGCUGCUUUCAGUUUCAAUUACAACAUUCGAACCUGGUAAAAAAAAAAAAAAUACCCAAUGCACUAAAAACAGAUUCCUUCAACACUUUUUGUAUACCCUUAUCACUGCAAAGCCUUAACUGUAGCAGGAUUCAAACCUGCAUUCAGUAUACACAAUGUCAUGUUAACCCACCUGCCUAUGUGGUCUGGCAAGUUAACACGACCUUGUUCUGAUAUAUACGUAAUGAAAGAAGGUUUUGAAUCUUACUACAAACAUCAGACUCUUUUCACUUAGUUCUUACAUCUAUGUAGUGACAAACAUAACCAAAAGUGUGAAGA